rnacentral:tRNA from 1 species
AAAGCUUUAAGUUAAAUUAAACUAUUAACCUUCAAAGUUAAAAAUAUAUCAAUGAAUCGUAUAAGCUUUA